UGGGGAAUAUUGCACAAUGGAGGGAACUCUGAUGCAGCGACGCCGCGUGAACGAAGAAGGCUUUCGAGUCGUAAAGUUCUUUUAUAUGGGAAGAUAAUGACGGUACCAUAAGAAAAAGCCCGGCUAACUACGUGCCAGCAGCCGCGGUAAUACGUAGGGGGCUAGCGUUGUCCGGAAUCACUGGGCGUAAAGGGUUCGCAGGCGGAAAUGCAAGUCAGGUGUAAAAGGCAGUAGCUUAACUACUGUAAGCAUUUGAAACUGCAUAUCUUGAGAAGAGUAGAGGUAAGUGGAAUUUUUAGUGUAGCGGUGAAAUGCGUAGAUAUUAAAAAGAAUACCGGUGGCGAAGGCGGCUUACUGGGCUCAUUCUGACGCUGAGGAACGAAAGCGUGGGUAGCAAACAGG
rnacentral:rRNA from 1 species